GGCUCAUUAACUUGACGUCCUGUCUGAGGGAAUUGGCUGGAGGGGGUCAGGUGAUGUGUAGCCCCCCUCCAGCGCCCGCUCACCUGGGCGGCCCGGGGAUGGGGACAAACGAGGCCGCCCGGUGUGAGCCGGGAUGCUGCGCGGCCGUUUCGCCAGGACAAACACCCCUAGAGGGGCUACGACAGGAGGGACGCUGCGGGGCGGAAGGGCUCCCCGUCGUGAUAAAGCAGGCUCCGGGUGGAGAGGACGGGGUGGUGGGCCCCGGGAGAAAACGGCCGAGCCCGCAGAGACACCUGGACUUCAUGGUAAUUCAUUACAUGGAGGCAAAUGGACCCACGUGAUGAAUAAAUGUUGCUUACCUGCUUAGAACCCCAUCUGUAUCAUGCAGGACAAGGUGUCCAUAAUUUAAGUUAUAUUUGAGAGAACACCCCAACCACUUUUAUUAUGGCAUUCAUCACUUAGAACCUGGGAGAAGAGUUAUUUGGAGCAGCCCAGACAGGUCAGAACUACUGUACAGAUGUAGAUGUGUAUGUUGGCAUUUACUCCAGAGGCUGGUAGUGAAAGGUCUCCCAAGAUCAUUAAUAAGGUGCUGCUUGUGAGAGUAACACAGCUCCCAGUCACCAGCAAACCAGCCCAUAUUGUAAGCUUAAAUGAAACCUUGUGAUCAAAAUUCUACACUUCAAACCAAAUGUAAUGCAUGGUGCACCAGUUACUGAUACAUGUGCUUAACUAAAUAUGCCUGAGAAGUCAGUCAGUGAAAGGAUGCACUGGUGCAGAGGCUUUUUAUAUCAUCUUGAACAUAUUUCAUCUCAAAGAGCUUUUAAGUAACUAUUCUCUAUCAAUAUCUGGGUUUCAGAAGAGAAGCUGCCUGAUCAAUUGCCUGGCUCAGAAGUAAGAGGGUUACUGUAAUUAUCUUGUUUGCAAGAAAAAUAAGAAUAUUUAUCUCAGUUUAGUAGGAGAAAUGGCAAUUGUGAAAUUUAUCACUAGCUCAAACGUGGUUUUGUUUUGCUGAUGAACAAAUGUUGAAUGAAUGACCUUUGUGCUCGUAUUUUCCAUGUUGGUUCUAUGGGAAUUUUAUGUUAAAUUUGCUAUAAAAUACUGGAAGCUUUUGAGACAUUUGACCCAAAUGAGAAUAAAUCACCUUAUGAGUCCUGCAUUUUAACAUUUUGAGGUAGGAGAACCAAACCCCAUCAUUUUCCAUGCUGUAGAAAACAAAGAAUAUUUCUGAACACUUAGCUUACAUGCAGCUGUUUGUUAAUGUGCAGUACUGCUGACCUGCUGCAAACUUGAAGUACACUGAGGGGUCUCAAGGGGGACCUUCUAUCCAAUGUGUCUGAAGGUGCUGAAAGGCACUGUGAAGAACAAGAACCAAGGAAAACGAAACCUUUCUCUUUACAUCAGCAAGUCACCAGGAGCGUCUCAAAGCAGUUGGUUACUUUGGGAAAAGCAAGCCAAGCGAGUUUCUCAUUCUUAGGAUCCACCUCUCUGUGGAGCAAGGAUCACAAGUCCAGCAUGAAGAGGGCACUUUGGUAAAUGUGGGACUGUCACGGGGUUAUCAAAUGAGCUGCCAUCCAACAGCAGCAGCUGGCUGCAAGUAGUGAAAAGUGUGACUAGUCUGUCACACUGACUAGUCUGUCAGUAUAUUAGUGUGUCUAUUACUAGUCUGUUAGUAUGUUAGUGUGACUAAUAAACUGACAAUACCUCCUGUAGAUCUGGAGAAGUGAGCCUGAGGAAAUGAGUGAGGGCACAGUUGAUUCAGACUAUCUAUCCAUACCUUCUCCUAAAUACAUUUUGAAGUUGUAUAGGUGCUAGACAUUACUAAGCAUCAGAAACACUUUCAAAGCACUGAUUCUGUUUACUCUGGUGCAAUUCUGAGCUGGGAUUUAUGACCAGUUUAGCAGGACAGCUUCUCAGAAUUUGUAGGGGGUGAUUAUUUUGGCAUUGUUUUGAUGACUGCUCUCCAGUCCAGUGUUUAGGCUAAAUUAAUUUACUGAUCUGGUAAGACAGUGUUCUUUUUUGUUAGCUUCACUCAGUAAUGCUACUAUAUAAAUACAUUUUAUUUGGAUGCUAUUUUUACUUCAUUUUAGUUUUAAGACUUUUAUGAGCAUUGUAAUAAAAAGCAUCUACAAAUACCCUCCUGAUACUUGGUCAGUAGGCAAUAACAUUUACCCAGAAUGGAUAUUGCCAGGCAAAAAAAGCCUGACUGGAUUCACUUAUGUUAGUGAUUUCCACAGGUUUGUUUCACUGACAGCAUAUUUGGAUCAUCAAAGAUGUAGCACUCUACCUGUACAUUCAAGUUGUUAGGACUGGGGCUUGUGAUGAAGAGACAUCUAUCCACCCACUACAAGGAAAAUGACAAACCCACCUUUAUUUUUUAACCACAGACUAUAUUUUUUCUAAGUUACAAAAAACUAGGAAGCUGUUUGGAGAUUAAAGGAAUUGUGUCAUUGGUCAUUAGAAAGGGAAAAGCCACAUUUAGAGAUCUAAGGAAUAUCUAUUGCCAGCAAAAUAACAGAAUGAAAAAAAUUGGAGGAAAAAUAAUCACUAAGCACGUAGGGAUAAAGAUAAGAAAAUAAUGAUCAUCACUGGGGAUUUAUAAAGAACAAAUUGUGCUGGAAAAGCUUGAUUGCUUUUCUUUAAUAGAACUAUAAAAUUAGUGGAUGAAGGCAACACGAUGGAUUUCAUACAUUUGUAUUUUAGUAAAGAUCUGAUACAUAAAUCCUACUCGAAAUUAUUUCAGAUUGGCUUGGCUAUGUCACCACAUGCAAUGAAAAAUUGUCUGGAGACCUGCAAAUAAAGCAUAAUGAUGCAUAAAAAGGUAUUGUGUUGGAGGGAGAGGUCUCCCUCCCAGGGAUCAGCAGUUGGUUAUGUCCUAUUUAACACUUCUUGACAUGACACCUGCCUGGAAAUCAGGAAAUUUUAUUAAGUGAGAGAAUAUAGAAGGACAUGUGGGACAGGGCAGCUGGAAAUAAAAUUAGAUCCCAGUAAAAAGAAAAUCAAGUAUUAUCCAAACUACACUAUCCAGUCACGAGGAGGUCCCUAGAAAACACCAGAUAAGAAUCACUGCAGCAGGUAACAAUGAGAUGGAAAACUGCAGCGAAAAACAGUAUAAAAAUAGCUGGACUGAGUGAAAGAGCUGAAAAUCAUCCCAGUAUGGAAGGACCACAAGGCUUUUGCAGUAUCUGUGUCCCACAUGCGCUGUCAACAUGGUGCCAGGCAGGUUUUGGUGGUACAGCAUGCAGGGACCUAUUGCAUGCUGGAGACAAAGCUGCAGUAAUUUUUUUCUCCCCAGAAACAGGCAGUGCAGAUACUCUUGGUGUAGUUGGCCUCAUUUGAGAGAAGGGCUUUAAAUAGAUCCUUGUUAAUUGUCAGGGUUGUUUUUUCUUGUUUGUUUUUAAUGUAAAACCAGGAAAGAAAAUGGCAGUAAAGCAAAUUAUCUGCAUUAACAGUAGCCAUAAAUCCCCAUUUUCCUAA